CCAAUUCCAAAUCCUUUUUAAAACCCAAUGAAGUUUCUCUUAGUAAUACAGUAAAAGUUGUCUAUUCUUUGAUAGAAUUAUCAGGCUAAAAGGCUAUUUUAUUAAAUCAAGCAAAACCACUGCUUAGAAAAGAUCAAGAACGCAAUUUUUUCACAAUCUACUAUUAAGUUGCAAAA